AGUGAACGCUGGCGGUAGGCCUAACACAUGCAAGUCGAACGGCAGCACAGUAAGAGCUUGCUCUUACGGGUGGCGAGUGGCGGACGGGUGAAGAAUACAUCGGAAUCUACUUUUUCGUGGGGGAUAACGUAGGGAAACUUACGCUAAUACCGCAUACGACCUACGGGUGAAAGCAGGGGAUCUUCGGACCUUGCGCGAUUGAAUGAGCCGAUGUCGGAUUAGCUAGUUGGCGGGGUAAAGGCCCACCAAGGCGACGAUCGGUAGCUGGGCUGAGAGGAUGAUCGGCCACACUGGAACUGAGACACGGUCCAGACGCCUACGGGAGGCAGCAGUGGGGAAUAUUGGGCAAAGGGCGGAAGCCUGAUGGAGCCAUGCCGCGUGGGUGAAGAAGGCCUUCGGGUUGUAAAGCCCUGUUGUUGGGGAAGAAAAGCAGCGGGUGAAUACCCCGCUGUUCUGACGGUACCCAAAGAAUAAGCACCGGCUAACUUCGUG
rnacentral:rRNA from 1 species